rnacentral:rRNA from 1 species
GACGAACGCUGGCGGCGUGCUUAACACAUGCAAGUCGAACGAAGCGCGAUGGAAGCUUGCUUCUAUCACUCUGAGUGGGGCGAAGGUGAGUAACGCGCAAUCAAACUGUACUUCAGAGGGGGACAUCAGUGGGAAACGAGUGUUAAUACCGCAUACGAGAUAAACUAGGACUCGAGGCAGGAUGAAAGGUGGGCUCAAGAUGUCGGCUAGCAAUGCAGGCGGGGAUUGCGUCUGAUUAGGUAGUUGGAGGGGUAACGGACCACAAAGGCGAUGAUCAGUAACCGGUCUGAGAGGAGGAACGGCCACAUUGGGACUGGGACACGGCCCAGACUCCUACGGGAGGGAGCAGGGGGGAAUCUUCCGGAAUUGACGAAAGUCUGACGGGGGAACGCCGCGGGAAGGAUGACGGCCGUCGGGUUGUAAAAGUCCGGUAGUCGGGACGGAAGGCCUUCUUGCGAAUAGGGGAAGGGAUUGACGGUAUCGGAAGAGAAAGCCACGGCUAACUACGUG